UACAGCCAUAUCACGUUGAAACAACGGUUCUCAUAUGAUCCCUAAAGUUAAGCAAUGUUGAGCCUGGUCAGUAUUUAGAUGCGUGACUGCUUGGGAAUACCAGGUGCUGUAAG